rnacentral:rRNA from 1 species
AUCUACGGCCAUGCCACCCUCAACAAGCCUGAUUCCGUCUGAUCUUGGCUGCUAAGCAGGGUCGGACCUGGUUAGUACUUGGAUGGGAGACCACCUAAGAAAACCAGGUGCUGUAGGCA